ensembl:lncRNA
GUCUUAGCCUGUGCUGCUAUGUGCAUCUAUUCAAAUAAUCUUUGAAAGAUUGAAACCACAGUGUGGGUGAAUGAAGAGCAUGGAACAGUUUUUUAUCAUUGUGCUAUUAGCAGGAGGAACUCAAGCUCUCAUUCCAGUUGAUGAGACUACAUGUGACCUCAGGACGAGCACAUGUCCAUGCUCUCCUCUUCUUGAAGGAACUGUGUAUGUCCAAGUGAUGACUGAUGCUAGUGGCCGUGAAGUGACAUGUUUGAAGAUGCUUCCCACCGUGAAUAUAAUUGUGUUCAAUCUGAAGAAAGAAACAAUAACAAUAGACAAAGAAUUUAACAACAGACUGCAGUUUCUAAUCAGGAAUGGGACAAUCAAGAUCACAAACCUGAGGAGGAAUGAUUCAGGUCAAUAUAACAUUGAGGUCUUUAAUUCAGGUGGAGUCCGAGAGAAAAACAUUAAUUUCACCCUGGAUGUUAAAGGCAAUGACAAAGUUGAAAGCAAGUUAUCACACAGUUUUCCUUACCUGAGGAUAGUCUUUGCUGCACUGGGAUCUCCCCUGAUAGCAGUGUCGUGCUGCGUUGUGUAUCGGGAACUGAAGCAUCUUAAGAAGACUUCUAACAAGGCGGCCCAUGAUCAAAAGAGCCUCAGGUGUGAAACAGAGAAUAUAAACCUUAAGUGUGAGUCUGAGCUUUAGUGAGCUGACCUCCCUCAUAAUCAGCACUGGACACUGAACUGAGGAUCAAUGAAAAUGAAAACAGUUAGGAGGUGACUGUGGAAGUUUCAUACUGUAUCAAAAACAAUUUAAAAAUGUUAUGCUUGCAGCUUUGUAAUCAUAUUUUGGAGACCAGAUAAGAAUAUACAGUCAUGUAUAUUAUCCUGAUUCAAAAUUCCUUAAAUAACAAUAAAAACUUUGUAAAUGAAUGGGAAAUGUCUAUUUCAGUGAGUUAGUAGGUAUUUA